rnacentral:lncRNA from 1 species
GGACUGCACCCGUGGCAUAUGGAGGUUCCCAGGCUAGGGGUCAAAUCGGAGCUGUAGCCACCGGUCUACGCCACAGCAACACCAGAUCCGAGCCACAUCUGUGACCUAUACCACAGCUCACAGCUACACCCAAUACGUAACCCACUGAGUGAGGCCAGGGAUCAAACCCACAACCUCAUGCUUCCUACGCAGAUUAGUUUCUGCUGCGCCACCAUGAGAACUCUGAGGUGAUGCUGUUUCUCAUCACAGGAUUUCAGGUUUGUUUUCCCCUUCCUUAUGACUACUGUCCAUUUUGCUUGCUCAGAUCCCAAUUCUCCUGCUGCUCUCCUGCUUCCAAGUUCCUUGAGGAGCCACGCUUCCUCCACCCUGGCAUCUCUCCCUGCUGGAUUUGUGCUUCAGGGAGGUAGGGGAGACUCUGUGCCCUCCCACCCAGGGCUAGAGACCUCUCUUACAGGGAUGUAACAUCCGUUGUGGCAGCAGCCACAGUGGUCCUGGGACACACAGGGUCACCCUCCCAGCCCUCAUGGCAUCAGGUGGAAAAGAGGGCAAGGCUGAGAGGCAGGACACAGCCCCCAUGAUUGGUCCAUGCACAGAUGCUAUAGUGGUUUCGGGUAGGCAAGUCAGGGCUGCAGGUGGAUGGCUCAGGACUCCGGUUUCCCUUUCCAAGCCCAUGGCCUCCUGCCCCUCGUCAGGCUCGCUUUCCAUUGAUGUUUCCCAACCUCACCACCUUUGCAAUUCCAGUUCCCUGUCCCUUGGAUGUCCCUCCGACACACUCUCCCAGCCAAUUCCAUCUACGUCAGGUCUUCUCCAAUCCCCAUCAGGAGAGGGGUUCUUCAUCAGCCCACAACCCACCCUGGAUGCACCCCAGAGAACUCACAGCAAAGCUUGGGACCCCUCCAGGGAGCCUAGCCUCCUGGCAAGCUGCAGGAUAGGCUGGGAGACAAAAGGGAGACCAAGGAACAAAAGACAGAAAGACCUUGUCAAGAUGCUGUCCCUCCAGGUUUGGCUGCUUCUUUAAACCUCGUCCUAACUCUUCUCCCACCCUCUUCACCUGACCCCGUCCACCCAGGCCUGAACUCCCUUGGUCCUCCCGAGUCCGUCUCCUGCUGGCCCAAAAUGUAAGCUUUUCCCAGCUUCACUGUAUCUCUGAGGCAGGAGGUAGAUGACCCCCUGGGCUGAGAACAGCUGGGACUUGUUAGGCUGAGUAAAUUGGGCCUUGCUUGUCUUUGACACGUCAGGGAAAAGCUAAUGGCAGGAGCUGAGCUCUGCUGGAGUAAAAAGAGAAGAUGAUCCCAUCAGUCUCACCCAAGGUCAAGGAGACCUUCUUGCCUAGGAGUCACAGAUGCACAGAUGCACUCCUAGGAGUCAAAAAGGGAGGGGGGUUCCAGGACCUAAUAAGUCCUGAUAAUCAUCCCACAAUCCUUUGCUCUGGAAUCCAUCUUGGCCAAGAGAUGCACACGCAUAUGGGGGCGGGCCCUGGGUCUGGUCAGGUGUGAGAAAUAAAACAAGAUAAUUGGCCAAAGGAAAACAAAGACUCAGAAGAACUGUCUAUAUAUGUGGUUUAAAUCACCUCGCCGGCACACUCUUCAUUCUGGAGGAUGCCGGCACCUGCACUCCUGCUUUUGGUGUGUAUUACUGCUUUGCUUCUGCCUUAGAUAAGUAAAUUACUUCUCACUGUGCUCUCCCACGUGUUGUACUGCUUUUAGCCUCUAGCUAGUCUAAUGGCUAAGAUUCCUGGUUUUUACCCUGGCUGCCCAGUUUCAAUUCCUGAACAGAGAAUUAAAAUCUCCAAGCCAUCUUUCACUGCUGUCUCUCUGAGAUCAUCUCCAACAGUCCUGCACACUUAGGACAGAAGUAAGGCAUCCUUCAGGACCUGACAGGCAACAGUGUAAGCAGCCAGGACUCACAGUCAGUGAGUCCUGACUGCUUACACAGUCAGUGUAAGCAGGCUGUGAGGCAGGUGCUGUGGCAGCAACAUACAUCAUCCAGAAAGUAUGGAUCUGGUGCGAGUCCAGCACUGCAUAGCAUGACAUGGUGCUAGGGGACCCUGGGCUGCCACUAGCAGCCCACAGUGUGCACCUCUAGAGAAUCGUAUGCACGCAGCCACAGGGCACCAGCCAGAGCAGAGGGGCCUGUCACCUACCAGGUGUUGGGCAAGGGCACUGAGGGGCCAUUAGGGCUGCCUAGGCUACAGAAUCCACAUAGGUAGGGUGCAACAGCAUCACAAGUGCCAGGCUUUCCCAAUCGUAGGUCACUGAGAUGCUGAAGUCCAUGUCUCUGCAAAGCAGGCAGCCCCGGCAGUAGGCACGGAGGUGGUGGCCGUGAACGAAGGGCAGCGAUUCCAGAAUUCCAUCCACCUACAGGGAGGGCAUGCGGGAGAGGGGAACAGCCAGGGAGGUGGUGGUGGUGGUCAGAAGACAUCCUUGGAACAUCAGUGAAGGAUCAGAGAAGGAUUGAGGAGAACACCUGUGGGUAGUUCAGUUAUUAGGGAUCAAAAGAGAAUUCAGGGGGAGGUCAGUUGGAGGCUAAAUAGUCAAUAAAAGAUCCAAUGGGGGAUCAAUGCUAGAGUGACUGUAUGGUCAGAAUUAAUGAGGGGUCAGUGGAAGAUAACGAGGUAACAAGAGAAUACUUAGGGAGUUGGUGGGAGGGGCCAGUGGGGGACCAAGGGGAGGACAAAUAGAGGGCAAUUAGAGGAAGCGGAUGGACAAAUCCUUGCCUCACUGAGGCUGGAGAGAAGGCUUAGACGGCUUGGGGGGGCAAUGGGAGGGCUCAGCUGGAGGCUGAGGAUGGGGUCAGAAGGUGAGUCCAUGAUUUAAGGGGACAUUAUCAAAGGCUCAGUGGAUGAAGCAAUGCGUCAGAGAGGCUCAAUUAGGAUGAGAGGCCUGAGAACGGGUCCAUGUCCGAGGAUGCUCAAUGGGAAGAUCCUCCGGGUGUAAACGGGGCCAUUAGAUCACUGAGAGCCCUUUCCAGAGUGAGAGUGUGGGGGGCGUCAACAGGGCAGUACAUAGGGUUAAUGGGCAAGUUGAGAGGGGGGGCCCAUAGUAGGAUGGGGAGGGGCAGUGGGUUAAGGGGAUGUUAACUGGAGGGGGUGGUGAAAGGGAAGGCCGAUGGGGAGCACAGGGCUGAGCCUGUGGGUUAAAGGGAGCCAAUUAGGGUGUCUGCUGAGGACUCAGAGAAGAGUUAAUGGGAGGGUCAUAGGAGUCUCAAGGGUGGUAAAAUUGACAAGUGGGAGUCGGUGGGAAGGAGGCAGUAAGCGAGUCAGUGGGGAGGGGGGUCCGUAGCCAUUGCUAAGGGACGAAUAGGGCGCUAGGGAAUUAGAGUGGACAUCUUCGAGGACCAAUGGGAGAGUCAAUAAAGGGGGCAUCAGCAGGAAGAGGGGUCACUCUGCUACCUGAGGGUAGUGGGGACCGUGAGGGAUGGUGGGUCAGUGUGGGCCUUUGGAACUGUAAACCCUCAUUUUAUGGAAACCUGAAAUGAUUCAAUGUAUUUUAGCAUAUGUUACCCUUGCAGAAAGGGGUACCCCUUCCAGGGCCUGAGAAUGGGCUCUUGUCUGACACAUGGAAAGGAAUUCUCUGAGGAGAUGCAUGUGCUGACAAAGCAAGAGAUUUUAUUGGGAAGGGGCGUCCAGGUGGUGAGCAGCAGGGGAAGAGAACCCAGGAGAACUGCUCUGCCACGUGGCUCGCAGCCUCAGGUUUUAUGGGAAUGAAGUUUUUUUUUGCUUUUUAAGGGCUGCACCCAAGGCAUAUGGAGGUUCCCAGGCUAGGGGUUGAAUCAGAGCUGUAGCUGCUGGCCUACAUCACAGCCACAGCAACGCCAGAUCCAAGCUGCAUCUAUGACCUACACCACAGCCCAUGGCAAUGCCAGAUCCUUAACCCACUGAGCAGGGCCAGGGACCGAACCUGCAUCCUCAUGGAUCCUAGUCAGAUUCAUUUCCGCCGAAUCAUGAUAGGAAUUCCAGGAAUGGAGUUAAUUUCCAGGUUUGUCUCUGGUCAGUCGUCUUGCUUGGCCCACACUUGGUCUGGCCCUGGGUCCUUCUUGGUGGCAGGUGCCCCUCUCAGCCAAGGCAGAUUCCAGCACCAAGGAUCCUAGGAGGUUGGUCGUCUCCUCCCUCUUAUUUGCCCCUCCCAAUUCCUCUGGGUGAGUCUUCAGGGCAGCACCCUGUUCCCUAGCAGGACCUCCUGCUGUGAGACAGCUGGAGCCAGCGACUCUGGUCAUGCCCGGCCAAGGUGGGCAGUUUCAGUCCAUGGUCCCCCUAGCAUUACUGCCCUUCUGCUGAUUUGAAUAAACACCAUGACAGUCCUAGUUUGACCUCAUAGGGUCAAAUACUCUCUUACCUGAUACGAAGGAGGAGCUAGUGAUGUAAGCCUGACAGCUACUCGAAGGAUGAGGAAGAAGCCGUCUUCCCCCCUCCCCCACUUUCCUUGGGCGGAGCAGGCCUUUGGGAAGGAGUAGGAUUGGAGGGUUACUGGUGGUAAGUGCCUGCUGGAGUCUCACCCCCCACCUCUGGGGCUGGGAUGGGGCAUCUGGGUCCCUGAAGGGGUAAGGGCUGGAUGGCUUGACUGGGGCAGAGCUGAAACUACCCCUCAGAUAGAUAAGUAUCAGGUGACCAGUCAUGAAUCGGAGGUACAACUGCUCUGUAGGGGCUUGGGAUGGGUAGGGAUUUGGGGGCUGGACCAUAAAUAGGUCUGAGUUCCUGAGGAGGUAGGGGUUGAAGAGCUGGACCAUAAUUAGGACUAAGAAGCGGGAAGGAUGAGAGCUG